UUAAACAGAGGGACACUUCGAAAUAGCGGAACCCGGGCGUUGGUUGACCCGGGCGUAAGGGAGCGAAAAUAGAGUAGCGAAGUCCGCGAUGUUCGGAGGCGAGAAAAGCUCUGAGGUAUGCUAAGGUGCCCGUACCGCAAACCGACACAGGUAGAUGAGGAGAGAAUCCUAAGGCCAACGGGAGAAGGGUUGUUAAGGAACUCGGCAAAUUGACCCCGUAACUUCGGAAGAAGGGGAGCCCCCUACGGGGGGUCGCAGAGAAAUGGCCCAAGCAACUGUUUACCAAAAACACAGGUCUAUGCUAAAUCGAAAGAUGACGUAUAUGGGCUGACGCUGCCCGGUGCCGGAAGGUUAAGAGGACAUGUCAGGCAACGAAGCAUUGAAUUUAAGCCCCGGUAAACGGCGGCCGUAACAAUAACGGUCCUAAGGUAGCGAAAUUCCUUGUCAGGUAAGUUCUGACCCGCACGAAUGGCGUAAUGAUUUGGGCACUGUCUCAACAGCCCGCCCGGCGAAAUUGUAGUACUGGUGAAGAUGCCAGUUACCCGCAACUAGACGGAAAGACCCCAUGGAGCUUUACUGCAGCUUAAUACUGAAAUUCGGUAGUACAUGUACAGGAUAGGUGGGAGACUGAGAAAUACAGGCGUCAGCUUGUAUGGAGUCGCUGUUGGGAUACCACUCUUGUACUGCUGGGUUUCUAACCUGCGGCCGUGAAUCCGGUCGGGGGACACUGUUAGGCGGGCAGUUUGACUGGGGCGGUCGCCUCCCAAAAGGUAACGGAGGCGCUCAAAGGUUCGUUCAGCACGGACGGAAAUCGUGCAAUGAGUGUAAACGCAUAAACGAGCCUAACUGCGACACCGACGGGUGGAGCAGUAACGAAAGUUGGAGUUAGUGAUCCGGUGGUAUGUGAGUGGAAAUGCCAUCGCUCAACGGAUAAAAGCUACCCUGGGAUAACAGGCUGAUCUCCCCCAAGCGUCCACAGCGACGGGGAGGUUUGGCACCUCGAUGUCGGCUCGUCGCAUCCUGGGGCUGAAUUCGGUCCCAAGGGUUUGGCUGUUCGCCAAUUAAAGCGGCACGCGAGCUGGGUUCAGAACGUCGUGAGACAGUUCGGUCCCUAUCUGUUGCGGGCGUAAGAGAUUUGAAGGGAGCUGUCCUUAGUACGAGAGGACCGGGAUGGACGUACCUCUGGUGCACCAGUUGUCCUGCCAAGGGCAUAGCUGGGUAGCUAUGUACGGACGAGAUAAACGCUGAAAGCAUCUAAGCGUGAAACUCCCCCUAAGAUGAGAUCUCUCAUCCUUCAAGGAGUAAGGACCCAGAAAGACGAUCUGGUUGAUAGGCCGAAGGUGGAAGCGCAGUAAUGUGUGCAGCUGAUCGGUACUAAUAGUCCGAGGGCUUGACCU
rnacentral:rRNA from 1 species